rnacentral:rRNA from 1 species
AGAAUGACUCUCGGCAACGGAUAUCUCGGCUCUUGCAUCGAUGAAGAACGUAGCGAAAUGCGAUACUUGGUGUGAAUUGCAGAAUCCCGUGAACCAUCGAGUCUUUGAACGCAAGUUGCGCCCGAAGCCAUCAGGCCGAGGGCACGUCUGCCUGGGCGUCACAC